rnacentral:rRNA from 1 species
GACGAACGCUGGCGGCGUGCCUAACACAUGCAAGUCGAACGGAGAUUUCAGUAAUGAAAUCUUAGUGGCGAACGGGUGAGUAACGCGUAGACAACCUGCCUUUUAGAUGGGGACAACACCGCGAAAGUGGUGCUAAUACCGAAUGUUGUAUUUUAAUCGCAUGAUUGAGAUACUAAAGAUGGCCUCUGUAUAUGCUAUUGCUAAAAGAUGGAUCUGCGUCUGAUUAGCUAGUUGGUGAGGUAAUGGCUCACCAAGGCGACGAUCAGGAGCCGGUCUGACAGGAUGAACUGCCACACUGGGACUGAGACACGGCCCAGACUCCUACGGUAGGCCGCAGUGGGGAAUCUUCCGCAAUGGACGAAAGUCUGACGGAGCAACGCCGCGUGAGUGAAGAAGGUUUUCGGAUCGUAAAACUCUGUUUUCAGGGACGAAUGUGCAGAUUGUGAAUAAUGAUUUGUAAUGACGGUACCUGAGUAGAAAGCCACGGCUAACUACGUGCCAGCCGCCGCGGUAA